rnacentral:rRNA from 1 species
GAUGAACGCUAGCGGCAGGCUUAACACAUGCAAGUCGAGGGGUAUAGUUCUUCGGAACUAGAGACCGGCGCACGGGUGCGUAACGCGUAUGCAAUCUACCUUUCACAAAGGGAUAGCCCCAGAGAAAUUUGGAUUAAUACCUUAUAGUAAUACGACUUGGCAUCAAGAUGUAUUUAAAGAUUUAUCGGUGAAAGAUGAGCAUGCGUCCCAUUAGCUUGUUGGUAAGGUAACGGCUUACCAAGGCAACGAUGGUAGGGGUCCUGAGAGGGAGAUCCCCCACACUGGUACUGAGACACGGACCAGACUCCUACGGGAGGCAGCAGUGA